AUUGAACGCUGGCGGCAUGCCUAACACAUGCAAGUCGAGCGAGCAGCGGACGGGUGAGUAAUGUAUGGGCAUCUGCCCGAUAUAGCGGGCUAACUGCUAGAAACGUUGGCUAAUACCGCAUAAUCUCGGAUCUACCCAUAUUGAAUUAUCUAGUGGGUGGGGUAAAGGCAACCUAGGCUACGAUUUCUAGCUGGUCUGAGAGGAUGAUCAGCCACACUGGGACUGAGACACGGCCCAGACUCCGACGGGAGGCAGCAGUGGGGAAUAUUGCACAAUGGACGAAAGCCUGAUGCAGCCAUGCCGCGUGAAUGAAGAAGGCCUUCGGGUUGUAAAGUACUUUCGGCGGGGAAGCGUUACCCGAAGAAGAAGCACCGGCUAACUACGUGCCAGCAGCCGCGGUAAUAC
rnacentral:rRNA from 1 species